rnacentral:rRNA from 1 species
UAGGGAAUAUUGCACAAUGGGCGAAAGCCUGAUGCAGCAACGCCGCGUGCGCGAAGAAGGUCUUCGGAUCGUAAAGCGCUUUUCUGGGAGAUGAGAAAGGACAGUAUCCCAGGAAUAAGUCUCGGCUAACUACGUGCCAGCAGCCGCGGUAACACGUAGGAGGCGAGCGUUAUCCGGAUUCACUGGGCGUAAAGCGCGUGCAGGCGGUUCGGUAAGUUGGGCGUGAAAUCUCCCGGCUCAACUGGGAGAGGUCGUUCAAUACUACCGAACUUGAGAGCGAUAGAGGAAAAUGGAAUUCCCGGUGUAGUGGUGAAAUGCGUAGAUAUCGGGAGGAACACCUGUGGCGAAAGCGAUUUUCUGGAUCGUUUCUGACGCUCAGACGCGAAAGCUAGGGUAGCAAACG